rnacentral:piRNA from 1 species
GGAACAUGUUUAGUUUCAGAAAGG